GCGAGGUGGGACUAAUCCAUCACCCCCUUCCUUCUUCUUUCGUACUGUACUAGGCCGCCAUGGAUUUCCUUCCUGGGCUCCCACGGCCCACCUCAAAAAUCCCCUCUCAGUCAACUCCGCCGCCGUUUUCCCUCAAAAAAAAAAAGUCAACUCCGCCGCCACCUCCUCCCUGCUUCGUCGGCUGCAGCGUCGCCCUCCUCCUCCGCCUGGCCCGGACGACAGCCGCCGGCCCGAGGGUUGCGCACUUCUUCGGCACACACACCGCCGACGGCUUCGCCAAGUAUGCAGAUGUGGCUUGAUCAUGUGGAAGCAUGUGACCAGGAAGGAUUGCAUCUGAAUAAAUUCACACGACAGCAACUGUAUUAAUCAGCUGUUUGUGCUUGUGGAGCUGGUGUCCCCAAUUUUGGAAAGUAUGUACUUAUUAUUUCCAUUCAUAAACUUGCAAUCCUAAAUUUCCAGGUGGGACCAUUAUAAUAGAAAUAUUGUUGUUUCCUUGAUAAUCCAUGUUUGUUGUUGUUCUAUAGCCAAUGAAUGAUAAGAUCAAGCAAGCUAUGGUUGGAUCACUAUCUGGAAUUGUUUUCUCGACACGACUGAAUUUGUUUAUUUUAUUUUCCAAGUGUUCAUUAUUAUCGCACUAAAUACCAGGAAAACACACACCAAAUAACCCAUGUUAACUUGAUUGCUUUUUCAGCUGUACUAUGCUCGUGAAUGACUACACAGUUGAGUUAUAUCUGAUUGCCUUUUAUGUUUGUCACUAUGUUAUUUGCGCCUAUUCAACACUGGAUGUGGUAUAAAAUACAAAUAGGCACAUAUCCAUGGAUGAACUGCUGGAAACUUAGAACCUUAUUUUCCUUUUCUUUGUAUAGUAAUUUUGUAAUAGCAGAAGUCUUGCUUGCUCGUUCAGAAGAGUAAAACACCAAUUUGUCAAAAUAUAUUCCACCUUAACCUGUCGAAGGCAUACCAUCCUGUCGCAAUAAUGUUUCAGCUUUUAAUACGUCCAAGGCACUGUCUAGACUAUGAACACUUUCCUUUCCGGGACUGCUUAGAAUAAGGAAAAUGUUUGUACGCGGGACUGCGGGACGUUGAUCGUAGGAAAUCGUAUGGCAGGAGCACUUGCUGGCCCCACCUUAUCUCUUUGUUGUCCCCUCCCUUAGAGAAAGUCUUAACCAAGCAUUGCUUAAAAAGAGAAAUAACUGCAACCAUUGAUAGAAAAGCUUCGAUCGUAAUUGAGAAAAGCUCCAACCAUUAAUAGAGAAAACUACAACCAGACACUGUGCAAUCAGAAAAGUUGCAACCGUGAUAGAGAAUGUUUCAAUCAUAUGUGUGGAAAGUUUCAACCGGCGAGGGGAAAAGCUACGACUGGCAACGAGGCAAAACUUUUUGCUGCAACCGUAUCGUUGUUUUGCUACUACCGGUGACUUUUCUCGCCUAAUCCAUGGGAGCAGAGCUGUGCCCCGCGAUGACGGCGACAUUUUUUGUUUUGCUGCAACUGUCGAUGUUUUUUGCUACUAUAGACGAUGUAUUUUGCUACAUCCAUUCAAUGUUGUUUUUUACUUGUGGUUGUCGACCGCGC